UGGGUGUGUAGGAAACUGGAACUAAGUCACUGAAGAAGUAAACCGAUGAAAACCGAUUUGGAUUGUCUGAGAGAUCUGUAGGACACAAGUAAGAGGAGAAGAAUGCUGCUCAGCUGGGUCGGCGUCAGCCACACUACUUAUUCAAGAAGCCCUUGGAUAUCAUCGGCAUGUAUGAAGCACAGUCAUUCCGGUAGUCCGUUCCUCGAUGGACGUGAUGACCUGGCACCAAAACCG